UCCGUGUUAACCACGGCAGUCUCUCUAGAGUGCCCAACUGAAUGCUGGCAACUAAAGACAAGGGUUGCGCUCGUUGCGGGACUUAACCCAACAUGUCACCACACGAGCUGACGACAGCCAUGCAGCACCUGUCUCCCGGCUGUAUUGCUACAGAGAUCGUAUUUCUACGACUGUCCGGGGAUGUCAAACCCAGGUAAGGUUCUUCGCGUUGCUUCGAAUUAAACCACAUGAUCCACCGCUUGUGCGGGCCCCCGUCAAUUCCUUUGAGUUUUAAUCUUGCGACCGUACUUCCCAGGCGGGGUACUUACUGCGUUAGCUACGGCUCGGCAGGGGUCAAGACCCACCAAGCCUAGUACCCAUCGUUUACAGCGUGGACUAC
rnacentral:misc_RNA from 1 species